rnacentral:rRNA from 1 species
UACAGAGGUCUCAACCGUUGUUCGGAUUCAUUGGGCGUAAAGGGUGCGUAGGCGGCGGGGCAAGUCAGGUGUGAAAUCUCGGGGCUCAACCCCGAAACUGCACUUGAUACUGCCUUGCUCGAGUACUGGAGAGGAGACUGGAAUUUACGGUGUAGCAGUGAAAUGCGUAGAUAUCGUAAGGAAGACCAGUGGCGAAGGCGGGUCUCUGGACAGUUCCUGACGCUGAGGCACGAAGGUCAGGGGAGCAAACGGG